CACAGAGUCAACUUUCCGUACCGUUACACCCCCUAGUGUUCAAUGACCCGUCACUGUGUUUUUAUUCUGAACUUGAACUGACAAAGUGAAACCCUACCUUUGUCCUGCCUUUCCAGGUGGUGUACUUCACAGCCACCUUCCCGUAUCUGAUGCUGCUGGUGUUGCUGGUCCGUGGACUCACUCUCCCAGGAGCCAAGGACGGCCUAGCCUUCUACCUGUACCCAGACCCCACCAGGUUGGUGGAUCCUCAGGUUUGGAUGGAUGCAGGGUCACAAGUUCUUUUCUCUUAUGGGAUUUGUCAGGGGAGUUUGACUGCUCUGGGUAGUUACAAUCAGUAUAACAAUGAUUGUUACAAGUAAGUGAUUGAUGCUUCGUGACUUUUAUGCCGUAGUCGUUCCG